UCAUAGAUUUCUGGUCUGCAAUCUAAAUAGUUAUACUCCUUAACUAUGCUUCAUCUUCUCUAAUUUGAUUGUGACAGUUUGUUUCAUUUUUUCCUUGGCAUAGUAUUAUACUUGCUCAUAUUCAGCUCUGUCCGUGAUAUGUGUGCUGUCGAUAUUUUUAUUUCAGAGCAUUUGCUAUAAUUUUUGAAUGUAGAAUCUUAUGUGAGAUAAUCCCUUUUGUGGGACUGACCUUCAGGAGUUACAUUCUGCUACCAUUAUAACUGUUCUUCAUUUUUCUUUUUCUCGAUCAUUAGUACUCUAUUAAGCCUUCAAGGGGUUUGAAAGCUUCUUUGUUCACUUAUAUUUUCCAUUUCAUGUUGGCUAAAUUGAAUGAACUGAAAAUCCAACCAUCUUGGAACUUAACAAAAUAAAACAAACAAGAAGCUAGCGAAAGCUGGAUUACCUUUCUGUGUACAUAUCUCUUUUUCAGAAAUUGGCACUGACUAAAUGAAUAAUGGAUACAUUGAUAAAUAUUUUUCGUCAUUGGUAUUCUCCUAAAGAAAUUACGAUCUUCACGUGUUUUUAGUCAACGUGUUUCUCAUUAGUUUCACCUUUAUAUUUCGGUACGGUUAGAAUAAAUUGUCAUCUUUGCUUAUCGAUCAUUAAAUGUUAAAGUUGUGUAUGGACUAUAAUGUCUUAUACUUGAAGAUAAAACGAUUACUGCUAAAUUUGGAGGUGUAUGUAAAUCUUUCUGAUUGAGGCAGAUCACUUCUGUUACGCGUCCCUCUGCUAAAGUUGUGUAUAUACUUUUUUCCUACUAAUCGUUAUCUCCAAUUUCUUUUAGAUUUACAGGUAACGCAAUCUGUCACUUUCUUUUAGUUAUUUCAAAUGAGUUUUGCUUUAACCAUAUGGGUUCAGUAAUAUUUUGUACAUAUUUACUUCCUUAUGGAUUUGACAUUUCACCUUUGCUAGAUUGUGAAGAUUUUCUCUUUGACGUUUUGAAAUGUUUGUAUUUAAAAUAACAUGAUAUAUAAUUUUCAGUUUUUCUCCUUCUCUAUCCUUCAUUCACUUCUUAGACUAAAACGGUAAUAUUAAACAUUGAUGCACUAGAAAAUGAAUUCAAGAUUCCAUACAAACAUUUCUUAUAUUCACCUAUUUUAGUCUCUAUGCUCGCUUUACCUUGCAAGAUAAAUGAAAAGGAUAGAUAAUCCAUAAUGAUAUAGCCCUCUGAAAAAUGGUGUGUUGAAAUAUUCUACUUUUAAUAGGAAGUUGAUGUAUAUAAAUCUUUAUGGGCAAGCGUACAAAUCAAUUCUUAUGAUAAUACUUUAAAAGAUGACAUUAAAGUUCCAGCUGCUUCUUAAUAUUUGAGAGCGUCUUCCAAGAACUUAUGUAUAUAAAAUUCUAUUGUAGUUUACUCACUUCUGUUAGACUCUGAAUGUAAAAAUGACUUCUCCUCUGAAUAUGUUAGCAACAGAAAUCAUCUUAGUUGGAAGUAAACUUUGGUGCAAGGUAAGUACUUUUGAAUGGAUACUUAAUUUUGUGUUCCUUUUGUUGAGCUUGACACUUAGUUUGAAGAGCUUGUGCUGAAGUUUAAAAGACUCUGUAUUAAAGAUACUUGGAGUUUUCUUUCAACCAUCAGAUGAAAUCAUGUUGGUGACUUUUAUUUCGCAACUCGACAAUGAAACCAUUAAAGGUUGAGCUUAAGUUCAAUGACAAGGAGACUUCUCUAAUUUGAGCAGAAAGUGUAAGGUAGGGGGAAGCAAGGGAAUAUGGGCAGGCAGUAGCGACGAUAGAGACAAAGAGCUAUGAGAAAUUGGUGCAGGAUCUUGAAAACACUCCCUCUCUUAAGAUUAUGAAAAGGCCCUUGAGAUAUUUCGGAAUGACACUGCUAUUAUUUUCAGGUCCUGAAGAAAAAAUAUAUCUUAUAACGUUUCAAAGACCCCAAAAUGAAGGAUAAGAGAAGAGAAAAAUCAGACAAAUAAAUGGAUGACAAAAUUGGAAUGGUUAAAGUUGUGCAGUGUGUUGUAGAUGGUAUUUUCAUGACAUUUCACAUUUUUAUGUUUAAGUUUGAACUUAUUUUUUGAACAUAUGCUUGCUAUACUUUUUCAUUACUAUAAUUUUUAUAAAUCAAGUUCGUGCUAAUGUGGAGUUGAUUGAUUUAUCCUUCUACAAGUAGGAUGCUAGCUGUUAGACAACUACUACCUUUUUUCCCAUUAAUAACGCAAUUUUUAUUUCUAUGAAGAAUGAUGUUGUUUGUUGUAAGUAGUAUAUUCUUUCAUCGUGCGUCUUUAUAGCUAUAUAUAUUGAACAUCGAGUUGAACACCAAGUGGUCCUCUUUACUUGAAGUUGAUAGAAAGUAAGAUGGUGUUUUGAAUAACACUACAAGUAACUUUACUACUGGAAAGUUAGAUGAACACAACUUUUGAAUAACACUACAAGUAAGAUGGCGUUUUUAUUCUGUCAUAAAUAAAUAUUCUACCACAUGAUCGGAUGAGUAUCACUGAACAAUUAAAAGGAAUCAAACAUAUUUUGUGGAUGCCAUCUUGAAAAUAAUGUAUAUGUGUACUCAAGGAAAAACAAUGUAUGUCAGUGAGGUUUUUCAAUAGAAUAUUACUUAAAUUUGAGAAAUACAAUGAAACUUUUUUUUAUGAAUGUAUCCUCAUAUAGACAUGUUGUAGAAAUCAACCCCACAUUAUACGAUCUUUACAAUAGAAAAAUUGAUUAAAAUUCCCUUUGGUAUAAAGUAGAUCAAGAAAAGGAAUGUGUAGUACAAUUAUUGAUCUAUGAAAAAUGUUGAAUCAUUUGUACUUCUAUCCCUAUUUUGUCUUGGUCAUAUUCACUUACUUCCACGUCUUCGGUGUACUCCGCAACCUAUCUUUUUUAGUAACUACUCAGUCCAUGUUGUUGUUUUAGUUUAAUCCCAUCUAUCCUUUCUUCUUUCAUGCCCUCUUUCACUCUGCUUUGCCCGUCGCUUUCCAUCCCCCUCUUCUAUCUCAUGAUAUUGUUGUAUCUUCCUUGAUGAUAUCAGUUUCUUCAGGAUCAUUCUACUUUAAUGUGGCUGGAUCAAUCUCUUUUGUUCAGUAAGAAAAAUCUCACAAAAAGCUUGAAGUUUUGUUACAAUGAUGUGAAUCUUGAAGUUCUGUUACAACCAAAUCAUGUCAUCUCUGCUUAUUAUUAGUUCCAAGAGUUGAUUGUUUUGGGAGAUGAUUCAAAGCGCUAAUGAACUUGAACGGUGGACUUAGGUGAUUGUUUAGAAAGAAUUUGAGUUGCCAAAUUCUUUGGUGCUUUCAUGAAAUUAGCAGUGAUAUCGACGGCUGAAAAUUCAGGACUAGCAUUGGAAGCAGUUGUCCAACAAAGAUACUUGCACAAAGAGAAAGUUAAUGGUCCAGAGGUAAUGCAACGUUUUAUGAACUUCCUGAGAGGUCACUAGAUGAGCCAGUUAAUGAUGGAAUGAAAAAGCAUAUAUCAAAGGUUGUCUAAAAGAUAAAAGCACUUGCUGCUUUACAACUUUCAAGACGGAGGAGGAACAAAAAAUAGUCUAUGGUGAAUUGCUCAAGAUCCUAACUCUUCUCUUAUUGCUGCUAAUAGAGAAGGGAUCAAUUGGGAUCUGAGAUUUAGAAGGAAUAUGCACGAUUGGGAAGUGUGAUCUGGUAGACCUUUUUGCUAGACUAUAACAUUGUCACAUUAAUCUCCAGGCAGCCGAUAAGCUCAAAUGGGGACACCAGAAAGGAGUUUAUACAGUCAAGGAAGGGUAUCAACAGUUGUGCUCUAGAAACCCCGUGAUAGCUAACUGGCCCUGGAAACUCAUUUGGAGGACCAAGCUACCACCUAAGGUAGUUUUUUUUACCUGGAUAGCUCUAUAUGAGGCAUGUCUCACCUAAGACAACAUAAAGAAAAGAAAAAUCCAAUUCCCAAACAGAUGCUAUAUGUGCAAAAAAGAGGCUAAAACCCUCAGACACCUUCUUCUUGAUUGUGAGGUGGCCUCAGAAUUAUGGAGCAUGUUUUUUUGUCUCUCUGACAUCAAUUGGACCACACCCCGCAC